rnacentral:rRNA from 1 species
UGAACGCUGGCGGCAGGCCUAACACAUGCAAGUCGAACGGUAACAGGGAUAAGCUUGCUGAUUCGCUGACGAGUGGCGGACGGGUGAGUAAUGUCUGGGAAACUGCCUGAUGGAGGGGGAUAACUACUGGAAACGGUAGCUAAUACCGCAUAACGUCGCAAGACCAAAGAGGGGGACCUUCGGGCCUCUUGCCAUCGGAUGUGCCCAGAUGGGAUUAGCUAGUAGGUGGGGUAACGGCUCACCUAGGCGACGAUCCCUAGCUGGUCUGAGAGGAUGACCAGCCACACUGGAACUGAGACACGGUCCAGACUCCUACGGGAGGCAGCAGUGGGGAAUAUUGCACAAUGGGCGCAAGCCUGAUGCAGCCAUGCCGCGUGUAUGAAGAAGGCCUUCGGGUUGUAAAGUACUUUCAGCGGGGAGGAAGGGAGUAAAGUUAAUACCUUUGCUCAUUGACGUUACCCGCAGAAGAAGCACCGGCUAACUCCGUG